rnacentral:rRNA from 1 species
GUCGAGCGGACAGAAGGGAGCUUGCUCCCGGAUGUUAGCGGCGGACGGGUGAGUAACACGUGGGUAACCUGCCUGUAAGACUGGGAUAACUCCGGGAAACCGGAGCUAAUACCGGAUAGUUCCUUGAACCGCAGGGUUCAAGGAUGAAAGACGGUUUCGGCUGUCACUUACAGAUGGACCCGCGGCGCAUUAGCUAGUUGGUGAGGUAACGGCUCACCAAGGCGACGAUGCGUAGCCGACCUGAGAGGGUGAUCGGCCACACUGGGACUGAGACACGGCCCAGACUCCUACGGGAGGCAGCAGUAGGGAAUCUUCCGCAAUGGACGAAAGUCUGACGGAGCAACGCCGCGUGAGUGAUGAAGGUUUUCGGAUCGUAAAGCUCUGUUGUUAGGGAAGAACAAGUGCAAGAGUAACUGCUUGCACCUUGACGGUACCUAACCAGAAAGCCACGGCUAACUACGUGCCAGCAGCCGCGGUAAUACGUAGGUGGCAAGCGUUGUCCGGAAUUAUUGGGCGUAAAGGGCUCGCAGGCGGUUUCUUAAGUCUGAUGUGAAAGCCCCCGGCUCAACCGGGGAGGGUCAUUGGAAACUGGGAAACUUGAGUGCAGAAGAGGAGAGUGGAAUUCCACGUGUAGCGGUGAAAUGCGUAGAGAUGUGGAGGAACACCAGUGGCGAAAGCGACUCUCUGGUCUGUAACUGACGCU